rfam:Lepisosteus oculatus linkage group LG11, whole genome shotgun sequence.
ACUUUCACACCUGGAUGUGCUCACUCAACCAAGAGUUGUAUGCAGCGAGAGAACCGAUUUUGUUGCAAAAUGUUCAGUUCUGCUCCUUUCCUGUUAGUUCGAGGCAGCUUGUUUAAAAAGACAUUGACCUAAG